AGAGUUUGAUCAUGGCUCAGAUUGAACGCUGGCGGCAGGCCUAACACAUGCAAGUCGAGCGGCAGCACGGGUACUUGUACCUGGUGGCGAGCGGCGGACGGGUGAGUAAUGCCUAGGAAUCUGCCUGGUAGUGGGGGAUAACGCUCGGAAACGGACGCUAAUACCGCAUACGUCCUACGGGAGAAAGCAGGGGACCUUCGGGCCUUGCGCUAUCAGAUGAGCCUAGGUCGGAUUAGCUAGUUGGUGAGGUAAUGGCUCACCAAGGCGACGAUCCGUAACUGGCCUGAGAGGAUGAUCAGUCACACUGGAACUGAGACACGGUCCAGACUCCUACGGGAGGCAGCAGUGGGGAAUAUUGGACAAUGGGCGAAAGCCCGAUCCAGCCAUGCCGCGUGUGUGAAGAAGGUCUUCGGAUUGUAAAGCACUUUAAGUUGGGAGGAAGGGCAGUUACCUAAUACGUAUCUGUUUUGACGUUACCGACAGAAUAAGCACCGGCUAACUCUGUGCCAGCAGCCGCGGUAAUACAGAGGGUGCAAGCGUUAAUCGGAAUUACUGGGCGUAAAGCGCGCGUAGGUGGUUUGUUAAGUUGGAUGUGAAAUCCCCGGGCUCAACCUGGGAACUGCAUUCAAAACUGACAAGCUAGAGUAUGGUAGAGGGUGGUGGAAUUUCCUGUGUAGCGGUGAAAUGCGUAGAUAUAGGAAGGAACACCAGUGGCGAGGGCGACCACCUGGACUGAUACUGACACUGAGGUGCGAAAGCGUGAGGAGCAAACAGGAUUAGAUACCCUGGUAGUCCACGCCGUAAACGAUGUCAACUAGCCGUUGGGAGCCUUGAGCUCUUAGUGGCGCAGCUAACGCAUUAAGUUGACCGCCUGGGGAGUACGGCCGCAAGGUUAAAACUCAAAUGAAUUG
rnacentral:rRNA from 1 species